CCUACGGGAGGCAGCAGUAAGGAAUAUUGGUCAAUGGACGCAAGUCUGAACCAGCCAUGCCGCGUGAAGGAUUAAGGCCCUCUGGGUUGUAAACUUCUUUUAUAGGGGACGAAAAAAGGGCAUUCUUGCUCACUUGACGGUACCCUAGGAAUAAGCACCGGCUAACUCCGUGCCAGCAGCCGCGGUAAUACGGAGGGUGCAAGCGUUAUCCGGAUUUACUGGGUUUAAAGGGUGCGUAGGUGGGUUGGUAAGUCAGUGGUGAAAUCUUCGAGCUUAACUCGGAAACUGCCAUUGAUACUAUCAAUCUUGAAUCAUCUAGAGGUAAGCGGAAUAUGUCAUGUAGCGGUGAAAUGCUUAGAUAUGACAUAGAACACCAAUUGCGAAGGCAGCUUACUAUGGAUGCAUUGACACUGAGGCACGAAAGCGUGGGGAUCAAACAGGAUUAGAUACCCUGGUAGUCCACGCCCUAAACGAUGGAUACUCGACAUUUGUGAUAUACAAUAAGUGUCUGNGAGAAGANAUAAGUAUACCACCUGGAGACGACCGCGAGUAGUAACGACGAAGAAGUAGUACGACGUGAGAGAGACGACGACGACGACGAGGGAGGAGGAG
rnacentral:rRNA from 1 species